UACGGAGGGUGCAAGCGUUGUUCGGAAUUACUGGGCGUAAAGAGCGCGUAGGCGGCCUGCCAAGUCCGGUGUGAAAGCCCCCGGCUCAACCGGGGAAGUGCGCCGGAAACUGGCAGACUAGAGUACCGGAGAGGAGGGUGGAAUUCCUGGUGUAGCGGUGAAAUGCGUAGAUACCAGGAGGAACACCGGUGGCGAAGGCGGCCCUCUGGACGAGUACUGACGCUGAGGCGCGAAAGCGUGGGUAGCAAACAGG
rnacentral:misc_RNA from 1 species